UGCCUAGGAAGGCUGAAAACAGCAGAUACUGCAACAUUCCUCUGAAACACUGGCUGCUGGCCACCAGGAGAUGCUGAGUACCUCAGUAGUGAGCUGAGCCAUAGAUUGUGCUACCCCCAGCAAAAACCUGGUGAUGCUGUGAAUAUGAGAGCUGAAUAAUGAACUGGCAAUGAAAACAUAAUAGCCCAUGGCCAAUGGCAUGCCUCCCACAAUAUGUUCCUCUGCAAUAGGUAAAAUCUCCAGUUAUGAACACAAAGAGCCUGGCACUUGAACUGGCAGAUGUCUCUAAUGACUGCAAACAAGCCCUGCUUACACAGCUUGCCAAGCCUGGCUGUUGAAAGUGAAUUUGAUUAUGAAGAUGGCAAGAAGACCUUGUGGAGGAGUUCAGGCAGUUCCUACAGGAGAAGGAGGCUGUGUGGCAGGGGAUGUGACUUUGGUAACUCGGGGUUUUAGUGGGUGCAGGAAACCAGCAGGACAUCUGCACUGCUGGGGUAAUUAAUGCUGAUAUGCAUCCAAGUCACAUUUCUUCAAGAUAAACCAAGUUUCUCUUUAGUAAUGCAGCGUUUUCAGAAAGAUAUUCUGGGAUUUGUCCCAUUGCAGAGACUUAACUCUUACACUGCUCACCCAGGGGUACCCAGUCUGAGGAAAGAACAGAAGCUUUUACUUGUGAAAUACAUUUUCAGUAGAAUUUCUGUGGUGAUAAAUUAUUUAUGUGAUUAAAUC